CCUGCGGAAGGAUCAUUANUGAGUUUAAAUGGGAGUUGAUGCUGGCCUUGACUGCAUGUGCUCGCUCCCAAAAUUCUGACCUUUAUACACCCGUGCACGCCUGAAGGUUUUUUGAGGCUUCUGUCUCGCCUNCGCUUUACACAAACCCUUUUCUAAUUAUUGAACGUGAUUGUGCCGAAAGGCCAUAAGCUCAUACAACUUUUAACAACGGAUCUCUUGGCUCUCGCAUCGAUGAAGAACGCAGCGAAUUGCGAUAAGUAAUGUGAAUUGCAGAAUUCAGUGAAUCAUCGAAUCUUUGAACGCACCUUGCGCUCCCUGGUAUUCCGGGGAGCACGCCUGUUCGAGUGUCGUGAAUACCUCAAGCUGGAUGCUUUAUUGCUAUCUUAGGCUUGGAUUUGGACCUUGCCGCGAGCCUUUGAUGGUGACGGCUGGUCUUAAANGUNUUANCUGGCCCAUGUUUGUGCACUUGGUUCUACUCGGCGUGAUAAGUUCAUGACCGUCGAGGGCAUCCUGCCUAACGGUGGGGUGGCCAAGAGUGCCGUGGAUCGCUUCUAAUCGUCUUCACCGACAGCUUUUUCAACUUUGACCUCGAAUCAGGUGGGACUACCCGCUGAACUUAAGCAUAUCAAUAAGCGGAG
rnacentral:rRNA from 1 species